rnacentral:tRNA from 1 species
UGAAUAGUGCCUGAUAUAAAAGGGUUAACUUGAUAGGUUAAAUAAUGAAAAAAUUUAUAUAUCUAUUCGU